rnacentral:rRNA from 1 species
UACGGAGGGAGCUAGCGUUGUUCGGAAUUACUGGGCGUAAAGCGCGCGUAGGCGGCGAACCAAGUCAGGGGUGAAAUCCCGGGGCUCAACCCCGGAACUGCCUUUGAAACUAGUGUGCUAGAAUCUUGGAGAGGUCAGUGGAAUUCCGAGUGUAGAGGUGAAAUGCGUAGAUAUUCGGAGGAACACCAGUGGCGAAGGCGACUGACUGGACAAGUAUUGACGCUGAGGUGCGAAAGCGUGGGGAGCAAACAGG